ACAGAAAAAGGUUUCAGGAACUCUACGUCAUGCCAGACUUGAAAACAUGCACUCUCCUCUGACCGAGUUAUAUUUGUGAACGGACAAACUGACAAAAAAUGCCUGGAGUCUUUAGAGUUCAGGAAUGGGCAGUUGAACGUCCAAUGUCUAUUGAAUGCAAACCAUUUGGCAAACAAUGCCAGUGGAAUGCAGACAAUUGAAGCCACACCUUUGCUGUGUGCAUUCAACUUUUUGACUCAUCGCUUUCAUCGGGACAGUCUUCUAUUUAGUUGCAGAUUUUGUUCUACCUUAUGAAUGCAGACAAAAAAUGCAUGGAGUCUUUACAGUUAAUGAAUGGGCAGUUGAACGUCCAAUGUCUAUUGAAUGCAAACCAUUUGGCAAACAAUGCCAGUGGAAUGCAGACAAUUGAAGCCACACCUUUGCUGUGUGCAUUCAACUUUUUAACUCAUCGCUUUCAUCGGGACAGUCUUCCAUUAAGUUGCAGAUUUUGUUCUACCUUUUGAAUGCAGUCCGACAACGUUACACACGGGAUGAAAUGAUAUAAGGUUAUUCGAAUAUGAGCAGUUGAAUUUGAGAAAACUGAUGCCAUUGUAUGAUACAUUGCAGCUCUGAAAUUGAGAUUCUACAAUGUCUUCAUCACAUUGAUCAGACGUUGAAGAUGAUCUGGCAAGUUGUUUAGUUGUCAUGUCACUGAUAUCCAAGAAUAAAUCUUGUUCAGUGUU
rnacentral:sRNA from 1 species